rnacentral:rRNA from 1 species
GUCCACGCUGUAAACGAUGGAUACUCGUUAUUGGGGUUUCGGCUUCAGUGACUAAGCAAAAGUGAUAAGUAUCCCACCUGGGGAGUACGCUCGCAAGGGUGAAACUCAAAGGAAUUGACGGGGCCCGCACAAGCGGUGGAGCAUGUGGUUUAAUUCGAUGGUACGCGAGGAACCUUACCUAGACUCGAAUGGUGUAUGAACGUCUCAGAAAUGGGAUUUCCAGCAAUGGUAUAUAUCAAGGUGCUGCAUGGUUGUCGU